CAGGGUGUAUAAAAAAAAGGUAAUCGAACUUCAGCGCGCUAUUAUACGUGAAUUACUCGGCGUAUGAACAAUUGGUUUUCAUAUUCGGAAAGAUCAGGCUUUUAGCUAUUGAAUGACAUGCCUUUCAUGCCAAGUGGAGAAAAAAUAAGCAUGUACGAGGCCGAUUAAAAAUGUUAGUCAAAAUCGCAUAUUUUCACCUCUGUGCCUAAUUGAAACAAUGCAUAACAAAAGAAAAAGCAAUUAAUCA